UUACACAGUUGAACCUGUAAGUUCUAUUCUGAAGCACACGGUUCAUGAUAUUUUUCCUAUAUAUUUGUAAACUCUUUGUAAACUCUAUGAGAGAUUUCAGUGUGGAGAAUAUUAUGAUUUAAUAUCUCUGAUAUGGAAUCAGAGCACACAUCAUUCUCGAUGCCUAAUCAUUGGUGAUAAUGAGCUAAAAUCGAUUCAGUCCAUGGUCUACGGUACUUCGGUGCUCAUAUUUCUUCCACAGAUCUGCAUAAGUUGUUUAUAAAGGGUGGAUGCGAUCGAGCUCGAUAUCAUUCCUUGGCUCCUUCGCUUUGGCAUAUUUUUCCAAAGGGAUAGUGUUUUUGGCAAUUUGAUUUGGCAUAUUCUAGUUUUGCGUAGGCAAUCUCUCAUUAAUCAGCUUAUAUUCAUAUAUAAGAGAUCUCGUGGCCCAUGCAGGUCGAAUUGUGAACCUUCAACGAACCUUCAUGGGUGUUCAUUUGUAAGGCGUGUUACAUUGGUGCCUCUUCUAUACACAGGUCACCCAUAUUUGCAAUAGCCCGUAUUCUUUACUCCCGUACUCUUUAUUCAUUGGCCUGUGUUAAGAUUAGAGGCGUGAGAUCAGUUGAUUACGCGAACCUUGCUUGAUUUUAGCGAGAUUGAUCUGUUUAUCAACAUCUAGCAGUUUCAUAUUUUGCUAGAGAAUUUUGCAGAAGGGAAAAUAUUUUUCCAGAGACUUUUGCCUCUAUCGCAGCGAUUGAGUGGAGAAUUUGGAUAUCUCAUUACAUGUGACAAGACCAUAUUUCUUGGCGAAACAGAUUGAAAGCUUGCAGAUCACAUCAAUCACAGCCUUCAUUGCAUCGAUCUCUUGUGCUCAUUAGCAUUUAUAUCUCACCAGUUUCGCUUUUGUCUUGGAGGGCCGAGAACUCCCGAAAGCUUGUUGAUCCCCUUACUAUGCUCAAAUGGACAGUAACAAUACAUUGCUGGCACCCAUUCAUUGAUCGAUUCUGACAACAACGAUUUCAACCAGAGGCUUGGUUGGCAGCAUAAGUACAAGGAAAAAGUUAUCGAAUAAAGAGCUUGAGUGGAUAUUAGAGAAGGAACAUCAUUGCAUUGGAAUAGUUUUUAUUCUACCCAUCACUUUCUAAGAAACAAAAUCAAAACAGUGAAAAAGGAGCGUUGAGGACUUGGGAAGCAAGGAGGAGCAGGACGACACUAGCAGAUUUAUGGAUCAGCCAACAAGCGCCAGUUAUUCAGGCAAUGACUGGUCACCCUCUAGACAUGCAUUUUUAGCAUUUACUUAUUCAUGUAUAAUUUAGCUUUCAUGUGCAUCAUGCAUAUCGAAUGAACAUGGUCAGUCUCACGGCUUAUUUUAUGAGACAUGCAUUCUAUCUUUUAAAUAAAGACUACAUUUCU